GACGAACCGUGCGAACGUUAUUCGGAAUCACUGGGCUUAAAGCGCGUGUAGGCGGAUGGGAACGUCGGUAGUUGAAAGCCCCCGGCUCAACCGGGGAAGUGGUGCCGAAACGACCCGUCUGGAGGGACGUAGGGGGACCUGGAACUUCCGGUGGAGCGGUGAAAUGCGUUGAGAUCGGAAGGAACGCCCGUGGCGAAAGCGAGGUCCUGGACGUCUACUGACGCUGAGACGCGAAAAGCUAGGGGAGCAAACAGG
rnacentral:rRNA from 1 species